AAGCAACUGCUCCAGGAUGGGACUGCGACUGAUCAGGCUGUUGGCGGGGUAAUGGCCCACCAAACCAGUAACCAGUACGGGCCUUGAGAGAGGGGGCCCGGAGAUGGACACUGAGAGAAGGGUCCAGGUCCUUCGAGGCG
rnacentral:rRNA from 1 species